rnacentral:lncRNA from 1 species
AUCUUGGGAUCUGCUGAUCUGCGCCCGUGCCUCUCAGAGCCUUCUCCCCGUGUCACUGGGUGCCCCUUACUAGCCUUGGGAGCCUACGGAGCACGUCAGCCCCUGCGGACUCUCCCAGCGAAGACACGGCUGGCUGCGGACUGGAACUUGGAAGAGGACACGUCGAGGAGCCUCUGUUGAGCCUCGGGAGAGUGGUGUCCGCCUCCCCGCCGCGCCAGUUCGGGCAGGGACGCCAGCUUUGGGGGCAACUUAACUCCAGGGAAAACAAAGGGUUAUACAACAAAGGAAAUGUGCUCCUAGCGCACUGUGUGCUUCAGCUCUUCUACAAAUGAUCCGCACUCGUCCUCGAGUUCCAGUAAUAGGAUCAGAUGUCAGUUCCAUAUUGUAUGGGUAAACUGAGUUACAGACAGAUUAAUCGUUUGGUCCAGGAUCACAGGCUAGGCAGCGGCUGAGCCUGGUGAGGGAGUCAAAUCACCCACCAAGCUGUUGAGCUAAACAACCCAAACUUGUCUGCCUGAAAGGAAUUCUGAAACAAAAGGUGGGAAUUCUGUUUUAAAAAUAAUAUUUCCCUCUCCAGAAAAAAAAAAAAGAGAAAGACGGGGGAGGGGAAGAGAGAGGGAGGCGGUGAGGACGAACAUACAUUUCCCACAGCAUUCUGCAGCUGGCCUUUUGCUCUGCGUAGACUAGAUCUUGGCUGAUGGCUUAAAGUCAUAUUCUCGGGAGAGUGCCCAACUGAGACGGCCAUAGUCCGGGGAGGCCCCCACAAGUCGGGUGGUCGAGUCCGGGGUGGGGGUGGGGGGCUGCUCCCUGCAAGCGCCCGGCGGGCGCUCGGGUGUGGCAG